UACGGAGGGUGCAAGCGUUAUCCGGAUUCACUGGGUUUAAAGGGUGCGUAGGUGGCAGGUAAGUCAGUGGUGAAAUCCCCGAGCUUAACUUGGAACUGCCAUUGAUACUAUUGUCUUGAAUACUGUGGAGGUUAGCGGAAUAUGUCAUGUAGCGGUGAAAUGCUUAGAUAUGACAUAGAACAUCAAUUGCGAAGCAGCUGGCUACACAAAUAUUGACACUGAUGCACGAAAGCGUGGGGAUCAAACAGG
rnacentral:rRNA from 1 species